rnacentral:rRNA from 1 species
GACGAACGCUGGCGGCGUGCUUAACACAUGCAAGUCGAACGGUAAGGCCCUUCGGGGUACACGAGUGGCGAACGGGUGAGUAACACGUGGGUGAUCUGCCCUGCACUUCGGGAUAAGCCUGGGAAACUGGGUCUAAUACCGGAUAGGACCACUGCCUGCAUGGGUGGUGGUGGAAAGCUUUUGCGGUGUGGGAUGGGCCCGCGGCCUAUCAGCUUGUUGGUGGGGUGAUGGCCUACCAAGGCGACGACGGGUAGCCGGCCUGAGAGGGUGACCGGCGACACUGGGACUGAGAUACGGCCCAGACUCCUACGGGGGGCAGCAGUGGGGAAUAGUGCACAAUGGGCGCAAGCCUGAUGCAGCGACGCCGCGUGAGGGAUGACGGCCUUCGGGUUGUAAACCUCUUUCAGCACCGACGAAGCGCAAGUGACGGUAGGUGCAGAAGAAGGACCGGCCAACUACGUGCCAGCAGCCGCGGUAA